rnacentral:rRNA from 1 species
UACGUAUGGUGCAAGCGUUAUCCGGAUUUACUGGGUGUAAAGGGAGCGUAGACGGUUGUGUAAGUCUGAUGUGAAAGCCCGGGGCUCAACCCUGGGACUGCAUUGGAAACUAUGUAACUAGAGUGUCGGAGAGGUAAGCGGAAUUCCUAGUGUAGCGGUGAAAUGCGUAGAUAUUAGGAGGAACACCAGUGGCGAAGGCGGCUUACUGGACGAUCACUGACGUUGAGGCUCGAAAGCGUGGGGAGCAAACAGG